rnacentral:sRNA from 1 species
GCCAGGGGCUCUGUGGCGUGAACCUGCAACCUCAGCUACUUAGGAGGCUGAGGCAGGAGGAUCUCAAGGUUCAAGGUCAGCCUGAACAACUUAGGAAGAUUCUGUCUCAA